AGCAGCCGCGGUAAUUCCAGCUCCAAUAGCGUAUAUUAAAGUUGUUGCAGUUAAAAAGCUCGUAGUUGAACUUCGGGAUCAAUUAGUUGGUCAUGCCUUGGUAUGUACUGAUUUUAUUGGUUCUCACCUUCUAAAGAACUAUAAUGUCAUUUAUUUGAUGUUAUAGGGAAUUAGGACUGUUACCUUGAAAAAAUUAGAGUGUUUAAAGCAGGCUCACGCUUGAAUACAUUAGCAUGGAAUAAUGAAAUAGGACAUCGCAUUCUAUUUUGUUGGUUUCUAGGAUCGAUGUAAUGAUUAAUAGGGAUAGUUGGGGGCAUUAGUAUUCAAUUGUCAGAGGUGAAAUUCUUGGAUUUUAUUGAAGACUAACUACUGCGAAAGCAUUUGCCAAGGAUGUUUUCAUUAAUCAAGAACGAAAGUUAGGGGAUCGAAGACGAUCAGAUACCGUCGUAGUCUUAACCAUAAACUAUGCCGACUAGGGAUCGGAUGAUGUUGUAUUUUUUAAU
rnacentral:rRNA from 1 species